rnacentral:sRNA from 18 species
UGACCACUUCGUAGAAGUUAAGCCCAGACGGACAGGCGGGUCAGGUGCCGA